CCUACGGGAGGCAGCAGUGGGGAAUAUUGGGCAAUGGGCGCAAGCCUGACCCAGCAACGCCGCGUGAAGGAAGAAGGCUUUCGGGUUGUAAACUUCUUUUAUCAGGGACGAAGCAAGUGACGGUACCUGAUGAAUAAGCCACGGCUAACUACGUGCCAGCAGCCGCGGUAAUACGUAGGUGGCAAGCGUUAUCCGGAUGUACGGGGUGUAAAGGGGGGGUAGGGGGGAGUGCAAGUCAGAUGUGAAAACUAUGGGCUCAACCCAUAGCCUGCAUUUGAAACUGUACUUCUUGAGUGCUGGGACGGCAAUCGGCAUUCCGUUUGUAGCGGUGA
rnacentral:rRNA from 1 species